CAGGAUGAACGCUAGCUACAGGCCUAACACAUGCAAGUCGAGGGACCGGCGCACGGGUGAGUAACGCGUAUCCAACCUGGCCUGAGGUAAGGGAUAAUCCGCAGAAAUGUGGUCUAAUACCUUAUGUGCAAAGUCGCCUUAGGAUGGGGAUGCGUCUGAUUAGAUAGUUGGCGGGGCAACGGCCCACCAAGUCAUCGAUCAGUAGGGGUUCUGAGAGGAAAGUCCCCCACAUUGGAACUGAGACACGGUCCAGACUCCUACGGGAGGCAGCAGUGAGGAAUAUUGGUCAAUGGGCGAGAGCCUGAACCAGCCAAGUAGCGUGCAGGAUGACGGCCUAUGGGUUGUAAACUGCUUUUAUGCGGGUAUAUGCAGGUACCGCAUGAAUAAGGACCGGCUAAUUCCGUGCCAGCAGCCGCGGUAAUACGGAAGGUUCUGGUGUUAUCCGGAUUUAUUGGGUUWAAAGGGAGCGCAGGCUGUCAGAUAAGCGUGUUGUGAAAUGCGGUUGCUCAACAUCCGCACUGCAGCGCGAACUGUUUGACUUGAGUACGCACGACGUUGGUGGAAUUUGCCGUGUAGCGGUGAAAUGCUUAGAUAUGGCGAAGAACUCCGAUUGCGAAGGCAGCUGACGGGAGCGACUGACGCUCAUGCUCGAAAGUGCGGGUAUCGAACAGGAUUAGAUACCCUGGUAGUCCGCACGGUAAACGCUGGAUGCCCGCUAUAUGCCGGUAUGUGGCCAAGUGAAAACGUUAAGCAUCCCACCUGGGGAGUACGCCGGCAACGGUGAAACUCAAAGGAAUUGACGGGGGCCCGCACAAGCGGAGGAACAUGUGGUUUAAUUCGAUGAUACGCGAGGAACCUUACCCGGGCUUGAAUUGUGAAGGUGCUGCAUGGUUGUCGUCAGCUCGUGCCGUGAGGUGUCGGCUUAAGUGCCAUAACGAGCGCAACCCUUUUCUUCAGUUGCCAUCAGCUGGGCCCUCUGGAGAUACUGCCGCCGUAAGGUGGAGGAAGGUGGGGAUGACGUCAAAUCAGCACGGCCCUUACGUCCGGGGCUACACACGUGUUACAAUGGGUGGCAGCGAGCAGGGUUACCGCAAGGUAUCCCGAAUCAUUCCGCCCUCAGUUCGGAUGGGGUCUGCAACCCGACCCCAGAAGCUGGAUUCGCUAGUAAUCGCGCAUCAGCCAUGGCGCGGUGAAUACGUUCCCGGGCCUUGUACACACCGCCCGUCAAGCCAUGAAAGCCGGGGGUGCCUGAAGUCCGUACC
rnacentral:rRNA from 2 species